AUGCUGAGGCAGUUGCUGUGGAGACAUUUUUCUUAUCCCACUAAAUACCACUUUGUGGUUCUUAUUUUUUCCCUAGUCACCUCCGUUUUAAGGAUUCAUCAAAAGUCCAAAUCUGUAAGCGUCACAUAUGUGGAGCUUGUUGGAGAGAAUCCUAGUAGUCAUAUUAAUUGCACCAAAGUUUUACGGGGGGGAUGUAGAUGAAAUCCAAAAGGUAAAACUUGAGAUGCUAACAGUGAAAUUUACUAAGUGCCCUUGGUGUAUACCUGACGGCUUUAUAAACAUGACCAGUUAUGUACUUCUUCAUGUACUUCUUUCAUCAAGAGAUGUAGAUAUAUUGUAGAACCCCUUAAGAAGGAAGAGGUGAGGUUUCCAAUAGCAUAUUCUAUACUGGUUCAUUAUAAAACUGAAACGCUUGACAGGCUCCAGAGAGCCAUCUAUAUGCCUCAGAAUUUCUAUUGCAUUCAUGUGGACAAAAAAAAUCAGCAGAUUCCUUUUUAGCUGCAGUGAUGGGCAUUGGGUCAUUUCAGUAACAUCUUUGUGGCCUGUCAGUUGGAGAGUCUGGUUUAUGCCUUGUGGAGUCGGGUUCUGGCUGACCUCAACUGCAUGAGGGACCUCUGCACAGUGAGUGCAGACUGGAAGUACUUAAUACAUGUUUGUAGUAUGGAUUUUCCUAUUAAAACCAACCUAAAAUUGUUAGGAAGCUCAAGUUGUUAAUGGGUGAAGACAGUCUCAAAGCCAAGAGGAUGCCAUCCAAUAAAGAAGAAAGGUGGAAAAAGUGGUAUGCAGAUAUUAAUGGAAAGCUGACACAUGUGGGGACUGUCAAAGGGCAUCCUCCGCUGGAAGCACCCAUUUUUUCAGGCAGUGCCUAUUUUGUGGUCAGUAGGGAGUAUGUGGGGCAUGUGCUAGAGGAUGAAAAAACCCAAAAGUUUAUGGAGUGGGUGCGAGGCACAGACAGCCCAGAUAAGUAUCUCUAGGCCAUCAUCCGAAGGAUCGCUGAAGUCCCUGGCUCAUUCGCCUUAAGCCAUAAGUACAAGUUGUCUGGAAUGCAUGCCGUUGCUAGGUUUGUCAAGUGGCAGUACUCUGAGGAUGACGUUUUCAAGGAUGCUCCCUACCCACCCUGCAGUGGGGUCUCCAUGCACUCAGCAUGCAUUUUCGGAGCCAGCAGCUUGAACUGGAUGCUGUGUAAACACCUAUGGGUGCAAGCUUAUACGUUUGACAUGGAUGUUGACCUCCUUGCCACCUAGUGUUUGGAUGAGCAUCUGAGGCAUAAAGCUUUGGAGACUUUAAAACACUGA
rnacentral:lncRNA from 1 species